UACGGAGGGUGCGAGCGUUGUCCGGAAUCAUUGGGCGUAAAGGGCGCGUAGGUGGCCACUUCAAGCGUGCGGUGAAGGUCGGGGGCUCAACCCCUGAUCGGCCGUGCGAACUGGGGGGCUGGAGCACUGUAGAGGCAGGCGGGAAUUCCCGGGGUGUAGCGGUGGAAUGGCGUAGAGAGUCCGGAAGAACACCGGUGGCGAAGGCGGCCUGCUGGGCAGUUUUGCUGACACUGAGGCGCGACAGCGUGGGGAGCAAACAGG
rnacentral:rRNA from 1 species